UACGUAGGUGGCAAGCGUUGUCCGGAUUUACUGGGUGUAAAGGGUGCGCAGGCGGGAUAGCAAGUUGGAUGUGAAAUACCGGAGCUUAACUCCGGAACUGCAUCCAAAACUGUAAUUCUUGAGUGGAGCAGAGGUAAGCGGAAUUCCGCGUGUAGCGGUGAAAUGCGUAGAUAUUCGGAGGAACACCAGUGGCGAAGGCGGCUUACUGGGCUCUAACUGACGCUGAGGCACGAAAGUGUGGGUAGCAAAC
rnacentral:rRNA from 1 species